AAAGCUUUUUCAGAGUCAUUCCAGGAUCCCAUGGAGUUGUGACUAGAUAAGACACUUGGCUGCUCUGAGACGAAAAUGUCUUACGGAUUGGCAGAUAAGGAAGAGCUCUGACUGCCUGUCCCUAGUCAUGGAAGGGAGUGAUAAGCAGACAUAGAAGUAAGGACCUGCAAGAGGAACACACCUUCACACUCCUAUAAGUGAAUUUAUCAGAUAAAAGCAAGAGAUUCAGCAUCACUAAGAGCAAAAAUGUGUGAAAGACUAUGAAAAGGAAUAAAGUGGGAGCUUGCAUCUUUAGUGUCCAAAGUACAAGCCCUGUUGCCUGGAAUUCUUCAUUAUACAAACCUUUAUUCAAUGAGCGUCUGCUGACAGGGUUGGACAACACAAAGUCAAUCCCCAGGAGUCACGUGACAGAAAGAACCAACUCUUGCAAGUUGACCUCUGACUUCCAUAUAGUGGCCGUGCCAUGUGCAUCCCUACCAGGUACACACAACUAAAUAAAAUAAAUUAUACUUUGAUUAAAGACGUUCAAUAGAAUGAGCA
rnacentral:lncRNA from 1 species